rnacentral:lncRNA from 1 species
AUGAGCAAACCUCAUCGAAUAAACCACAUAUAUUUACUUGACAAGUUCACCAGAUUCUCAGAUGCCCCGAAAUCAAAACGGCGCAGGAGAACAACACGGCAGCAGGUAUUAUGGCGUGGAAUCGAACCUGUGACAUCCAAGCGCGCGGCAGCAGGGCCUCGAAUCACUGCUCUACCGGCUGCCCCAAAAUCCGGUCAAGUCACUGUGACUGUUGGGCGUUCAGUAGCGCCUCCUCAUUCUCAGCUGACUAACUGCGUCAAACUGCGUCCUUCCAUUGGCUGUCGGGAGCUGUCCGUCAGCGUCGCGUUUACCGCGGACCGUUACCUCACACAUGUCACGUGUAACCAGCAUGACAUCGUAGCAGCGUGGUCGCGCCACGAAGGGCUCGCAUUUGUUUGUGCAACGGGACCAAUGGGCGUGCGAUGUUUUUCAACUGCGCCACGGCGACGCGUGGACGUGUGAUGAGUUCAGAACCCACGUGUGUGAAAAACGGAGCCAGGAAGUGUUUCGCAGACAUUUCUUGGAAAUGUCAAUCUUCUCCGUUUAUUUGGAAACACUCAGAGUGUGCAAGCUGUCCGCUAUAAUAAGAAAAAGAAAAAGAAAAAGAAAAAAAAGCUGUCCACUGUCUGGACCCAAAGGACUUGGGUUAAUUUGUAACUCUGUGUGACCCGGGGGGGGUAACAAAGGGCUCGCUCAAUUUGCACGGCGUGUCGCCGAGAUGAGGGCCGAGAGCAGCAGCGAGCGACGGUGGAAGUGAGUCAGUGUGACGGACGCCACGCCGAGUGAAGCCGAGCGCCAGCGGAGGAAACGGCCUGCAGCCAAUCGGGGACCUGUUGCUGAGGAGCUGCUUUCGCAUUAAAACGUCAUCCUGUGGCCGUGCGCCCCCACGCAUUUUUUUGAAAGCCGCGUCUUUUUAAAUUGAAUUACUCAACAGUUCCUGUUAGGCAGUAACGACAGCAGCGUUCGGACCGCGCGCUCUGUUCUGCGCCCUCGCUUCGCCAUGGCGUUCACAUCGGAGCUCACUGCACGCAGCUGCACCGGGAUGCUGUGUGUUCAAAGCCCAGCCUGUAAACUGUUCUACUCCGAAGAAAAUUUCGUUUUGCGUCAUCAAAUCAAUUUUGCGCUACUUUGGUCCUCUUAAAAAGAGGCAGUUCCUUUGCUUGCCAGAUUAUGUCCUCAAUUUCGGUGAGGGCUCAUUCCCGAAAAAUCACUGUGCUGUGACCCGGAGGGGGGGGGGGGGGGGUUGGGGAGGGGUGCCCCCACCCCACCCCACCCCGCCGGCUCAUGUUCUGAAGGAACGUCUGGGAUGGAAGUGACCCUCACAGCCGGCACUGCGUGUUUCCCACCAGAAGGGGACAUCUUUCCGCAGCUUUCCAGAAGGGGCACAAAUCGCCGCUGUGUCCAAGUGCAGGUAGUUCCCGGCUGAGAUGGAAAGCGGAGAUGCAGAGUGCGUGAGUGUGUGUGUGUGUGUGUGUGUGUGUGUGUGUGUGUGUGUGUGUGUGUGUGUGUGUGUGUGUGUGAGAGAGAGAGAGAGAGAGAGUGAGUGCUCCAUUCCUGGCCACUGCACUAGUUACAUGAGGGAAGUCUGUGCAAUGAAAUACAAAAGGAGAACAAAGAAGGGGGGGCAGAGAGUAGAUGAGUCAUCCAAACCCAAGACCUGUUUGCUUUCGGAAGGUUCUCAGCUCAUGUUGUCCGAGGAGAACUCUCGCUGUGCCCAGCGUUCACUUUGCAGCGGAGGACUCUCGGCUGCCCGCCGCUCUCCUCUGGCCGCUCGCAACCCUCAUAAUAUGUGAUAAUGAGCAGCAUUAUGCUCCUUUAAGCCCCUCUGCUGGACCUGGCGCCCUCGUCGCCGGGGGUCCGGUUACUCUCUUUUUAGUGUGAGCCACACGUGACUGUGCCCGGAGCGCCGGCCUGAGACGGGAGGUGUCAUGUUCACGCCCUCUUUCUCAAUCGGGGGCUCCGUUCAGCGUACGAUGGGAAGGGGGGGCUUGGAGAUGCAGACAAGGCGACUGGGGGAGGUGGGGGCCGGGUCCAGCGCUACAGGAGAACCACAGGCCGGGCGAUUUUCCACCACGUUUUCUGCCUCACCUCGGGAGCGCAGUAAUUCCCCAGUGAGCCGCAGCGCCGCCGUGCUCGGAGCCCCUUUUCUUUCAGGGGGGAGGCGGUACGUUCCACGAUUGUCGUGCACCUGUUGCACUGGACCGGGAUUCCGUGCGGAGCUCGCGAGGGGGCGUGGCGGUCAGCUGUGCUCGGCCGUUAGAGCCGCUGACCUCUUUGGCAUGUGUCCUGAAAUAGCAGGUCAUUUAUGGCCAAUGGAAAGACAGACAAUGGCCACCCGCGCAAGCCGGGUCGACCGGGCCGUUCGGAGGUGUCCGGUCACGUCGUAGACCGAGGACACGCCGCAUGUCCGUGACACCGUGUUCCAGUUAACACUCUGAUUUUAUCGGCAGGUUCAUCAGCAGGUGUAAACAGCCAUUGUUAUACUUCAGCAAAGAGUAUUACCUUGUUGCUGUUUCUGCUUCUUUAAACACAGUAAUGUGGUCAGUUUGUCCCGAUGUUGUAGAUCACCUUGACAAAAAAGAGCUGCCAAGUACACAGACAGACAGACAGACAGACAGACAGACAGCUAGAUACAUAAGAUAUAGGUACAUAGAUACAUAGUAACAUUCCACCUGGACACUGCAGCUCUCUCCUGUCUGCUCUUCCAGCUUCUGCCAUCAAGCCUCUGGAGCUGAUACAGAAUACCGCGGUACGAGUCGCGUUCGACCUACCGAAGGGUUCCCGUGUACCCCCCUCCUCGUCUCUCUCCGUCGGCUUCCUAUCGCUGCCCGGAUCAAACUCGACAGUCCGGUUACGACUCGCGCGAGCGGCGCACGAGCGGAUCCGCUCCCUCGUAUCUACAAGAGCUCAUCGCUCGCCGCACCCCCGCCGGACCGCCGCGUUCCUCCGGCUCCGCUCGCUUCGUGGUCCCGCGCGCAAAAGGGCCGAACGUUUUCGGUUCUGCCUCCGAUGUGCCGGAACGACCUCCCGCUCUCACUCAGAACUGCUGAAUCCCUCUGUACGUUUCAGAAGAGUCUCAAAACUCACCUCUUUCAGACUCCCUUCUCCUUGAUCGCCGAAGUGCUCAAUAAAUGUGUGCUGUCUCGUCUGUUUAUAAUAUAA